GUAUGACGCGCUGCGCUGUCAGUAGGUGGCUUGUCCAUGUUUGUGAUUGGUCGAUCAUUCCAAAUACCGUCCCUCUUAUGUGAACGCACACCUAACUAGAUAAGAUAAAGCUGGCUUGAAUUAAGGAGUUGAUAGUCAGCGUCGCAGCACAGCUUAGCGAGAGCGGGUUUGCUUUGGAUUAGGUCAACCGGCUAACUCAAACAUAUCCAGGAUAUGUUGAACUAGAUUCGUAGUACAUGCCUCAGGUAAAGUACAAUCAUUUCCUCU